rnacentral:siRNA from 1 species
UGACCACUUCUUUUGAGAUACGCA